rnacentral:rRNA from 1 species
CUUACGCGUAGGGCUACACACGUGCUACAAUGGCAGUGACAAUGGGAUAAUCCCCAAAAGCUGUCUCAGUUCGGAUUGUCGGCUGCAACUCGCCGGCAUGAAGUUGGAAUCGCUAGUAAUCGCGGAUCAGCAUGCCGCGGUGAAUACGUUCCCAGGCCUUGUACACACCGCCCGUCACACCAUGGGAGUUGGAUUCACCCGAAGGCGGUGCGCUAACCUUUUAGGAGGCAGCCGACCACGGUGGGUUCAGCGACUGGGGUGAAGUCGAAACAAGGUAGCCGUAGGGGAACCUGCGGCUGGAUCACCUCCUU